rnacentral:rRNA from 1 species
ACUGUUGGUUAUGUGUGCCCAAGCAUUGAGGCAGUCAAAGUAGGCAAAUCCGCUUUGAUAAUGCUGGGAUGUGAUGGGGAGCGAAAUUUAGUAGCGAAGUAGCUGAUUUCACACUGUCAAGAAAAGUCUCUAUCGAGGUUAAAGGUACCCGUACCGCAAACCGACACAGGUGGGUGAGGAGAGUAUCCUAAGGCCAGCGAGAGAACUGUUGUUAAGGAACUCGGCAAAAUGACCCCGUAACUUAGGGAUAAGGGGUGCCACCAUCAGGUGGCCGCAGAGAAUAGGCCCAAGCGACUGUUUACCAAAAACAUAGGUUUCUGCUAAGUCGCAAGACGAUGUAUAGGAGCUGACGCCUGCCCGGUGCUGGAAGGUUAAGGGGAUCUGUUAGAGCAAUCGAAGCAGUGAACUUAAGCCCCAGUAAACGGCGGCCGUAACUAUAACGGUCCUAAGGUAGCGAAAUUCCUUGUCGGGUAAGUUCCGACCCGCACGAAAGGCGUAACGAUUUGGGCACUGUCUCAACAACAGACUCGGUGAAAUUGUAAUUCCGGUGAAGAUGCCGGAUACCUGCGACAGGACGGAAAGACCCCAUGGAGCUUUACUGUAGCUUGACAUUGGGUCUUGGUACUACAUGUACAGGAUAGGUGGGAGGCUUUGAAACCAGGACGCCAGUUUUGGCGGAGCCAUCCUUGGGAUACCACCCUUGUA